GUGCCUUUUUGAAAUCAACCACAGUUCAUAAAUGUUGUAGAUGUAAUUUAUUUAUUUAAUCAACGAAUAUAAUAAUAUAAUCUGAUAUUUGUUAUUAGAAAAAUUCCCAAAAUAUACCAAUUCCAUAUCUGACGACACCAACCACCAAGUCUCACCCGUUCGCUUCCAUCGGUAGUUUCUUCGAAAUAAACUACUCAUUUCUCUCUCAAAGUCCCACCCCCAACCUUCAACCCCGCCCCCCACAUUGACCCGCACCUUCUUCGCAAUCGCAACCGUCUCUCUAAGAAAACCCUAGCAGUCGUCGCAUCGUGCUUCCGUCUUCGCGAUGCCAAAGUUCACGCCGACCACCGGGAGCUGGAUGCAAUGUCCGGCCCUGUUAUGGGAAAGAUCUCCCUCAGGAACUGCUAUUAUGUGACUAAUAGAAGUAGAAACGAAGGAAAAACGGGUUGAAAUUUGGGUUAUGCUGCCGGUAUGGAUGUUUUUGCAAGUGGCUGGGUUAUGCAGAGAAGGGGAAUGUCGAAUUUAUUCGUGCUGAAGGAGGUAUGAAUUAGGGGAAUUCUGAGGUGGUUAGCUGAAUUUGAUAUGUUAUUGUUCCAUUUUUUAUGCAAAUUAGGGGAAUUUGAGUGUGGGCUGAUAGAAUUGGAUUUAGAUUUAUUAUGCAGUUUCAUUUUUUAAAGAACAAUUUGGAUCAAGUUUUCUGUUAUCAGUGAAUUUAGUGUUUGAUAUUCUCAAAUAUUUUAGUAUGGGGAUCAAUAUUUGCACUGUUGAACUUCAAGCAUCUAAGGAUUCCAAUUUUAAGGAUGCGGGUAUGUUGUUCUUUAAAUACAACUUUCGUCGACUAAUCUUUUAUUAGUUUAAAGGUCUUAACGCUUCUUUCUCUUUUACUUUUUCUUUUAUUAACCCAGGGUUAUACAAUUUGCAAGUUACUAUUGAAUUAUAUUUGAUACAGUACAAGGUACAACAAUAAAUCCGUACCGUUCAAUAAUUAUUUGGAUUGAGAUCUAAUGUAUAUUCCCACCUAUAGAUCUAUAUGCUUAUGUCCAUGCAGAUAGAGAGAGGCAACAAUUGUUGAGGCUCAAGCAUUAUGGGCAGUAGUUCAUUCUGAAUGUCCUUGCUUGGAGGUGUCCAAAGAAAUGUUAAGUCUUCAAGUGAUAAUGUUCUUGUUAUUAGAGGCGUAUUUGAUACUUUGUGGGUAGUUUGGUAUUUCUUAGUAUAAUUUAUCGAUUUUGUUGUUAGCUUUAGUGUAUAGUUUGUAAUAUUUGAAUCAUGAUUUUUUAUGGAAUUAUUAAAUCA